UGUCACAUUAGUUGUAAUUGUGUCCUUUUACCUAACAUGCAUGAACAUGUAAGGUAAAAGGACACAUGAGCAUGAGCAUAUUAAGAGAGAAUGGAGACAAAUCGUUUUUAGGACUUGAUGUGUUGAGAUGAAUGGUUUUGAAAACUGACAAAUUGAAGAAUUGAGACAUUUAUGCAACAUAUGGGAAUCUUUAUUGAAGAAAUGUUUUGCCACACAGUGGCUUCAUCAGUCUUUUACAAAGCAGGAAGGUGUAAGGAGAGGAGUAGUUUGGGGUAAUCAGUUCCUCAACCUGGAGUUGAUGUGUUCAGUCCAUCAGUCUUGUAUAAAGUACAGCACAGGGCCAUAGCAGUGGCUUAUGUACUGUAGUCAGGUGAGGCAAAGCAGGAAGAGGUGGGGUCAUAGUGAAACCAUCCACUAGUCUAAGUAGGUCUUCGUCCAAAGAUUGGACAAGUUUUGAAGAAUAAGAGGAUGAUGCCCAUUGAAUUAAAGCAUGAAAUCAUAGAAAAACAUGAGCGAGGUGUACGUGUAGUGGACUUGGCGAAACAGUACGAGCGUAGUAUUUCUAUAAUAGGUACCAUUCUAAAGCAGGAGUAGUCAAUAAAGGCUAUAAUCUCAGCCAAGGGCAUUAAAAUAAUUUCUACGCUGCAGAUAUCUGUCUAUGAAAAGAUGGAGAAGCUGCUGGAGUUUAUGAUGAAUGAGAGCAACCGAAAAAGCACAAAACGAAAUGAGCUCCUCCAAUCUCCUCUGCCUAUCUUUUGCACCCUCCACCUCUGCCAGCAUUUUUCGUUAGCCCAAGUUGUCUGAUCUCCAAGUUUGUGCUGACACUGUCAGUACAGCAGUGACUCUCAGUGUUACCCAACUCAAAUAAAUGUCAGCAACACUGAGGAUAGCUACUGUCAGCAGCAAGUUUAAUGGAACACUGUCAGACUAUUGACUGAAGUUUCCUUGAUGCCAGAGACUAGCUUUUGAUCCAAGAACUAGAGCCUGACUUCUCCUUCCUUGGAUCAGUGGUGAUUUCUCCUCAAGGUGACGUACAACUCCUUGGGGUUUAGUGUUCCAUCCUCCCCUGAGUAUAUCAAGAAUGUAAUACAUUCUCAGAUAAAAUAUAUAUUACUAAGUUACACUAUCUUGAGUACACAUGUACUUUUAAGUGUGUUUUAAUACACACUGUACUUAUCCAAGCUUCUCAUGUACAUAGUUAUCAACUCAUGUAGUACAAUAAUCAGCCUUGCAUGAAGGUCGAUGUUAUUAUGAAUAAGUUGGAAAUUUCUCUUGUAAAUUAAGGGCAGCAUCAUAAGAGCAGAAUAGGGAUUUAUUAAGAAUGUAAAAAUGUUGGAAUGAAUUAGACACAACUCUUCAUAAGUUGUACAGUGUGUGUUGCAGUUUGUAUUGAACAUUGUGUGUUGCAGUUUGUAUUGAACAUUGUGUGUUGCAGUUUGUAUUGAACAUUGUGUGUUGCAGUUUGUAUUGAACAUUGUGUGUUGCAGUUAGUGUUGAACAUUGUGUGUUGCAGUUAGUAUUGAACAUUGUGUGCUGCAGUUAGUAUUGAACAUUGUGUGUUGCAGUUAGUAUUGAACAUUGUGUGCUGCAGUUAGUAUUGAACAUUGUGUGCUGCAGUUAGUAUUGAACAUUGUGUGCUGCAGUUAGUAUUGAACAUUGUGUGCUGCAGUUAGUAUUGAACAUUGUGUGCUGCAGUUAGUAUUGAACAUUGUGUGCUGCAGUUAGUAUUCAACAUUGUGUGCUGCAGUUAGUAUUGAACAUUGUGUGCUGCAGUUAGUAUUGAACAUUGUGUGCUGCAGUUAGUAUUGAACAUUGUGUGUUGCAGUUAGUAUUGAACAUUGUGUGCUGCAGUUAGUAUUGAACAUUGUGUGUUGCAGUUAGUAUUGAACAUUGUGUGCUGCAGUUAGUAUUGAACAUUGUGUGCUGCAGUUAGUAUUGAACAUUGUGUGUUGCAGUUAGUAUUUAACUGAGCUACUCUAGGUAAAUCCCUAGUCUUGAACUGUUCUUUAGAAUUAGUGUAACCAAGAGUGUGUUAGAGUGUACACAUUAUAUCUCAUGUUCAAUACUGUAAAUGACCAGUUAAAACACUCGUUAUAAAUGCCAGUUUGCCUUUUUUACAGAAUUCUCAGUUUUUUCCCUUCAUGGAAAUAUUAGUCAUAAUCUUACCCCUGCUAUGAAAAUAUUAGCUAUAAUAUUAUCCCUACUUUUGAAAUAUUAUUCGUAGUAUUAUUACUACUUAUGGCUUUUAGAUAUAUUCAUUAAUCUUAUUUUAUUUCCUGAUAUUUUCCUCAUUUACAGUACUUUAGAAUUUUUUGUUUUGUCAUAAGAGUUAAUAUUUAUGUAUUUGUUUAUUUUACUAAUAAUCAUGAUAAUAAAACUUGAACUUGAAAAAGUUUGUUGAUGCAAACUUUACUGACUACAGUGUAUUGUCUUUAUAUUCAACUUUACUGACUACAGUGUAUUGUCUUUAUAUUCAACUUUACUGACUACAGUGUAUUGUCUUUAUAUUCAACUUUACUGACUACAGUGUAUUGUCUUUAUAUUCAACUUUACUGACUACAUUAUAUUACUUUAUUUUCAACUUUUUAAAACUGUGUUAUUUUUAUUUCUAUUUGAUUUAUAUUUAUAAAGUUGAAUAUUGAUACACAUAUAUUGGUGAAAUUAGAAUUAAGUGUUGAAUAUGUAACAUAAUUUGAUGUUAUGUGAGUUUCACUAACUCCCAUUUAAACAAUAACUUCCUAGCACCAUUUAAACAAUAACUUCCUAGCACCAUUUAAACAAUAACUUCCUAGCACCAUUUAAACAAUAACUUCCUAGCACCAUUUAAACAAUAACUUCCUAGCACCAUUUAAACAAUAACUUCCUAGCACCAUUUAAACAUAACUUCCUAGCACCAUUUAAACAAUAACCUAGCAACAUUUAAACAAUAACCUCCUAGCACCAUUUAAACACUAACUUCCUAGCACCAUUUAAACAAUAACUUCCUAGCACCAUUUAAACAAUAACUUCCUAGCACCAUUUAAACAAUAACCUAGCAACAUUUAAACAAUAACCUCCUAGCACCAUUUAAACAAUAACCUCCUUGCACCAUUUAAACAAUAACUUCCUAGCACCAUUUAAACAAUAACCUCCUAGCACCAUUUAAACAAUAACCUCCUAGCACCAUUUAAACAAUAACCUCCUAGCACCAUUUAAACAAUAACUUCCUAACACCAUUUAAACAAUAACCUCCUAGCACCAUUUAAACAAUAACCUCCUAGCACCAUUUAAACAAUAACCUCCUAGCACCAUUUAAACAAUAACUUCCUAGCACCAUUUAAACAAUAACCUCCUAGCACCAUUUAAACAAUAACCUCCUAGCACCAUUUAAACAAUAACUUCCUAGCACCAUUUAAACAAUAACCUCCUAGCACCAUUUAAACAAUAACCUCCUAGCACCAUUUAAACAAUAACUUCCUAACACCAUUUAAACAAUAACCUCCUUGCACCAUUUAAACAAUAACCUCCUAGCACUAUUUAAACAAUAACCUCCUAGCACCAUUUAAACAAUAACCUCCUAGCACCAUUUAAACAAUAACCUCCUAGCACCAUUUAAACAAUAACUUCCUAGCACCAUUUAAACAAUAACCUCCUAGCAUCCACUUAAACAGUAACCUUUCCUAGCAUCACUUAAGUUAAUAACCUCCCUAGCAUGCACUUAAACAAUAACCUCCCCUAGUAUCCAUCUAAACAAGUACAUGACCUGGUGUAGCACCUACUUAAACAAGUGCAUGACCUAGUGUACCACCUACUUAAACAGGUUAAUGACCUAUCUUAGCACCCACUUGAAGAAACAUUUUUGUUCUUUAAACAACUAUAGCUAAGCACAUUGGAAAGUUAUUAUAUUAUUCAAUAAGAUUUAAAAUAAAAGCAACUGAAGUACAUUGUAAUAGUUGCUUUUGUUAGUGAAUACAAACCCUCUUAAUUCUUUAAUAUUUACACAUUAAUGUGUUGUUUACAAGAGUUCAUUAGGAAAGAAUUUCCUGUCAGUCGCUUAAUUAUUUUUUUGGAAAAGUCUUCAUUAAGAGAAUACAUUAAAUGUGAAGCAGUGUACUCUAGAAAUGAAUGCUCAAAAAUUUCAGAGUAAUGUAGUGUUGUCUAUGUGAAUGUCUUAAUUUGAUAAAAAUAAAUCUAUUGACUUUGACAAAAAUAUUAAAGUAUUUGUUAUAGAUCUAUUUCGUGUUUAAAACUUGAAAUAAAAUAUAGCAGACAUGAGUGUUCAUGCAGCCAAGAAAUUGUUUCAAUGUCAGUUUUGUCAAAAAGUGCUUCCAUGUAAUUCUAAAUUCUUGAGACACCUUAGAAGUCACACAGGGGAGAAGCCAUAUCAUUGUUCAAUUUGCCAGAAAGACUUUAUUGAGAUAACCUUAUUAAAACAACAUCAGAGGAUUCAUACUGGAGAGAAACCAUACCAGUGUCCACAAUGUCUUAAAAACUUCAACUAUAUAGCCUCACUUAAACAACAUCAGAGAAUUCAUACUGGAGAAAAACCAUUUCAGUGUUUAAUAUGUCAAAAUAACUUUAAACAGAGAGGUCAUCUUAGCACACACAUGAGAAUUCAUACAGGAGAGAAACCAUACCAAUGUUCAUUGUGUCCAAAAAAGUUUACCACCAAAACUUCUCUAGUGAAACACACAUACAGUCAUACUGGAGAGAAACCAUACCAAUGCUCAGAGUGUCCAAAAGCAUACUCAAAACAAUGUGCUCUGGUUGCUCAUUCAGCAAUCCACACAGGACAUAGACCAUUCAAGUGUUCAGAGUGUCAGAAAGAUUUCUCAGCAAAAUCAAGAUUAGCAAAACAUAUAAAAACUCACACUAAAGAGAGACGAUAUAAUUGCUCAGUGUGUUCAGAAAGGUUUUCAAGAAAAUUGUGUUUAGAAAAACACAUGAAAACUCAUGCUGGGCACCAGUAUCGAUGUUCAAGGUGUCUAGAAAGUUUCUUGAAUAAGACUAACCUAGUAGAUCACAUGAGGACUCAUAUACAAGAAGGAAUAAAUAUUAAUGAUUAGUGUCCAAAAAUCUUUAAAUAAAAUUGUAUCUUGUUAAACUUAUGAUGAUUCUGGCUUUGGCUAAAAGCCCAAGUAUUGUAGUUUGAAAUGUUAUUUGUGUAGUUUGAAGGGUUAUUGGUGUAGUUUGAAGGGUCAUUUGUGCAGUUUGAAGGGUUAUUGGUGUGUUUGAAGGGACAUUGGCAGUUUGAAAGGUUAUUGGUGAAUUUGAAGGGACAUUCUCAAAUUAUGAUGACUAUGCAUUAAUGACAAAGCAGCUUUUUAAUGUAUAGUUGUGAUUUUUAUUGUUUUUGUCACCCUGCCUGGGUAGGGGAGAGCUGGUGGGCUCAAGAAACAAUGUAUCAGGUUUGGCCCAUGUGUUAAAAGAUGAUGUAACAAGAAUAAACUAACAAUAAAGUAGACUAAAGUUG